rnacentral:rRNA from 1 species
UACAGAGGUCCCGAGCGUUGUUCGGAUUCACUGGGCGUAAAGGGUGCGUAGGUGGCAUAGUAAGUUUGAUGUGAAAGCUCAGGGCUUAACCCUGAAAUGGCAUUGAAUACUGCUGUGCUGGAGGUUUGGAGGGGGGACUGGAAUUCUUGGUGUAGCAGUGAAAUGCGUAGAUAUCAAGAGGAACACCAGUGGCGAAGGCGAGUCCCUGGGCCGAUAUUGACGCUGAGGAGCGAAAGCGUGGGGAGCGAACAGG